GUGCCCUUGGGAAUAUGGGCCUGCCAUGGGCCUGCCCUUAGCCUUCACUAAAUUUAGCUAUACCCGCAAUUUGGCUAAUCAACCAUGUCUUUGGAUAUUUCGUUGGCAUUCCGAAGUCUCAUAGUCAUCUAUCUCAUGGUCGAAAUCUUCUUCACCAUUGUGAUGAAAUGAGCUUCUAGAUUCUUUUCAAACUCUCUUGAUAGAGAUCAAUGAGAUGCUUAGGAGUCAUGCACGUCUUAGUCC
rnacentral:lncRNA from 1 species